CAGUAGCCGCGGUAAUACGUAGGUGGCAAGCGUUGUCCGGAAUUAUUGGGCGUAAAGGGCUCGCAGGCGGUUUCUUAAGUCUGAUGUGAAAGCCCCCGGCUCAACCGGGGAGGGUCAUUGGAGACUGGGAAACUUGAGUGCAGAAGAGGAGAGUGGAAUUCCACGUGUAGCGGUGAAACGCGUAGAGAUGUGGAGGAACACCAGUGGCGAAGGCGACUCUCUGGUCUGUAACUGACGCUGAGGAGCGAAAGCGUGGGGAGCGAACAGGAUUAGAUACCCCGGUAGUCCCUGUCUCUUAUAC
rnacentral:rRNA from 1 species